GACGAACGCUGGCGGUGUGCUUAACACAUGCAAGUCGAACGGUAAGGCCCUUUCGGGGGUACACGAGUGGCGCACGGGUGAGUAACACGUGAGUAACCUGCCCUCAUCUCUGGGAUAACAGUCGGAAACGGUUGCUAAUACUGGAUAUGAGCUUGCAAGGCAUCUUGUGGGUUGGAAAGAUUUUUUUUGGUUGGGGAUGGACUCGCGGCCUAUCAGCUUGUUGGUGAGGUAGUGGCUCACCAAGGCUUCGACGGGUAGCCGGCCUGAGAGGGCGACCGGCCACAUUGGGACUGAGAUACGGCCCAAACUCCUACGGGAGGCAGCAGUGGGGAAUACUGCACAAUGGACGGAAGUCUGAUGCAGCAACGCCGCGUGCGGGAUGACGGCCUUCGGGUUGUAAACCGCUUUCAAUUGUGACGAAGCCUUUUUGUGACGGUAGCAGUAGAAGAAGCACCGGCUAACUACGUG
rnacentral:rRNA from 1 species